AGAAUCAACGCUGGCGGCGUGCCUAACACAUGCAAGUCGCACGAGAAAGGGGAGCAAUCCCUGAGUACAGUGGCGCACGGGUGAGUAACACGUGAAUCAUCUACCUCCGAGUGGGGAAUAACUGAGAGAAAUCUUAGCUAAUACCGCAUAACACUUACGAGUCAAAGCAGCAAUGCGCUUGGAGAGGAGUUCGCGGCAGAUUAGUUAGUUGGCGGGGUAAUGGCCCACCAAGACGAUGAUCUGUA
rnacentral:rRNA from 1 species